rnacentral:rRNA from 1 species
UACAGAGGGUGCGAGCGUUAAUCGGAGUGACUGGGCGUAAAGGGCAUGUAGGCGGUUAUAUUAGUCUGAUGUGAAAGACCGGGGCUUAACCCCGGAUGUGCAUUGGAAACGGUAUAGCUAGAGUAUGGGAGAGGGAAGUGGAAUUUCCGGUGUAGCGGUGAAAUGCGUAGAGAUCGGAAAGAACACUCGUGGCGAAGGCGACUUUCUGGCCCAAAACUGACGCUGAGGUGCGAAAGCAUGGGGAGCAAACAGG